UCUCCAUUCCCUUCUGCCGUGUCUUCAUGAACCUCUGAAUUAUCGAUUUCUCCACUCCCUUCUCGUUGUCUCUUCGAAUUCCAACACAAACCAUUGUUUCAAUUGCACCAGAACCCCUUCUCAUCUCUAAUUUCAAUGAAACCCUAAGUUCAUGAUCUCUACAACCUUCCUGAAUUCAAAUCUAUCAUCUCAAUUUUGUGCUUCUUUGUUCUUCCAAACUGACAUCCAUGGCCUUAGGUCUCUCCAUUUUGUUACAGCACCUUCAGGAAUAGAGCGGAAUGAUGACGAAGAAAUGAUUGUUGAUGCCACGGUUUAGAUCUGUGAAUGAAUUUAAAGACACGGGUUUGGAGCAGCACUGCUGCUGGUGAUGAUAGAAGAGUGAUGGUGUUGAAUGAAGAACAUAAAGGGGGUUGCUCAUAAAUUCUCUUCAUGCCAACUUCUAGUUUUCAUCUCUUCAAUCCUUUAGCUGGUGAAUGUCUUGCUGGUGUGCUUUCUACACCGACCAAUUCUCUUUAUUGCGUAGUUUGAUUGAUGAUUAGAGAUGUUUAUAAACCUCCAAUUGAGUAAAUGGAAACAAUUCUGGAUUGUUCAUGAACUCACUGUCUCCAUGGUCGCAGAAGAUUUGAUUAAGAGGGAGUGAAAAAAAUCAGUAAUAAAGGUCAAGAAACGGAAGAUGGUUGUCCAGUUUUUCCACGGAAAACGGUUAAUCAUUGUUCGUUUUUCACUUUUUGAGAACGGCUGAUCGUUGCCCGUCUUCGGAGUCUUCCCGCUGGGAUUCCUAGAGACCAGGAAAGGCUAUCGGGAAGAGGGGCUUUAAGUGACGGUUUUUUUGUUUGGGAUGACCUUGGGCAUGCCCAUAAGACCCAGUCUAACAGAGACACCAAUAUAUCGAAGUGAGUUUUAUUCUGUUCUUUUUCUGCUCUUUCUUCUGUUCUUCAUGUAUUUCUCCCUAUUGAACUCAAAUCCAAUGAAUACUUUUUUUUUUUUAUUAUUUUUUUUAUUAUGAGGGAUUCAUGUAAAUCUUGAGAUCUAGAUAAAUUGAAGAAGAGGGUGAUGAAUCUGGAAGUUGAUCUGUGAAAGAAGAAGAAAUCAGAUGAAAUAAAAAUUAGGGUUUCUGCUAGAAUUGAAUAAGUUCUAUUUGGAAGAGGAGUUCGAUUUAGAACAUACAGAUGGAGACUCCAUCACCAUCACCUCCAUAAUGUAGUUGUAUAAAAGUUAAUCAGUCAGGGAUAGGAGUGGAGGCUUGAUGAGGUUCUUUGAUAAAGCAAUAGCGGAAUAUAGGCAACUGUAUUGAUGAAAGCCACCAACUCAGAUAUGUUUGUCGCGUCUGAAUGAUGCAAACUGACUUGGAUAAAGUAGAGAUGCAAAAAACAAUGGUGCUUAAUGGCGCUAGUUAAGUUUCUCUCAGGUUUUGUCUUGAUACUGUCGAGAUGAAGAAUGGGCCAUGGUCGUUCGCUGGAAUAUGUGAGUUUUAACACAUAAAGAUUUGAUUGCGUUGGAGUGUCACCAAGGAUAUACUGUCUUGGAUAUAUAUGGAGAGACUGCUGGACUCAAUUAUAAACUCCAUAAAAAUUACCAUUUGAAGGGUACUAUUUGAGUUCCGUGUAGUAUGUGGGGGUACAAAAGAACACAAUUAAUUUCGUCUAGAAGUAUUUUUUUUUAUUAAUUUUUGGCUCAUGCCUUUACCAUGUAAUCCUUUAUAGUUUCAGGGGCAUUUCUUCUAAUCUGUCAAGGUUGAUGACUGUUACUGGAGCAUAGGAUUCAAAGUAAGUUCAUGUCAUUACGGAAUAUCAUUAGCAGGUCUUCAAAGUUAAAUUAAGUAUCUUUGAAAACAGUCAUGUAACAGGGUAAUGACAUAUUGAGCAACAAAUGAGACAGAUGUUGAAAUUCUGCCUAUACCAUGUCUUAAGAGAGACUUUGAGAGGGACAAAAAGAAAUGAGUUUGAGAUUAGAACUACUCUGCCAUUGUAGACUUACGAUUUUGGAAGUGAGAAGCAUUCAAGCAAUAUUAUAUGGAAAAAUGUUGGCAUAAUGAAUCCCGAAAGCUCCUCUGGACAAAGUCGGUACUCUUAGCUGUUGGGUCUCUACAGGCCCUGGUACGAAUGUUUCCAAACCUAAAAAAGGUUCAGCAGCUGCUGUUUUUGGAUUGGGCAUUGUCAGCCUUACUGUAAGUAAUUUGCUCUUUUGUAUGAUGGUGCACAAAGUUAACUUGAUUCUUCAGUCGCCUAUUUAAACAGCUUAAGCAAUUCAGCAAACAAAUGCAGGCUUGGGAAUCUUCUAGGAAUCAGGGUAAUCAGAAACAUUUUUCCACCUAUUAAUCUUAGUUGAAAGUUUUAGAUUUCCAGGCUUGAUUUGUGCUUCAGUUAAUGGUACAUAAAGAUUUAUAAUUUGUAUGCAGCUUACUUGAAAUGAUUGAAGUGUCAAAUGAGAUUUGUUUAUG